UACAUGCAGACAGGGUGAAGGCUGGCUGGACCCCUCGCUGCGCUCCCUGGGGGGGGACAGGCACAGCUUCGUGCUGCAGGGCAGGCAGAGAACUGGUGAAAAUGUUUCGUGAAGGUUGAAGCUGUGAAUUUGACUGGGGCCUGGGUUCAACCUGGAGACUGAAUUUAUGCAGAUGCUGAGAAGAACCUGAAUGAUCCUGGAAGACGAAGAGUUACCAUGUCAAGUGAAAAUGUAGGUGCAGUGACAAUGCAUAGUAAAGAAAAACGGCAGAUGUGUGCUACUCAGAGGCAGAGGCAGACUCUCCACCAGCUUCUGAGAGCAUCCUGGUGACUGCCUUGUCCCCACACCCAGAUCUGCGGGAUGAGGUGGAGCUUUAUCAUGGGGCUCGAUGACUGGAGAGAAAUCAUUUACUGAAAUGAAGACUGCUCUCCAAAACAGCAGCAGUAAAGUUUCUGUGCUACGAAGUUGACUAAAAUGCUCUAUUUUCUUGUGGCAAUAAAUAAAAUGACUCAUUUGUCUAAUCGUCUUGU
rnacentral:lncRNA from 1 species